AUUUAAAGUGAUGGCUGCAGCCAUUCCGGGGAGUUACUCACUUUUCCUGGGUCUCUGCCAUGUAUACAGGAGAGAGAGAGCAGGAGCACAUGGAGAGGCAGAGACAGAGAGAAUCUCAAGCAGACCCCUGCUGAGCGCAGAGCCAGAGUCAGGGCUCCAUCCCAGGACCCUGAGAUCAUGACCUGAGACGGAAUCAAGAAUUGGACAGACGCUUAACCGACUGAGCCAUGCAGGUAUCCCUGCUUGAGGUAUUUUAAAGUUGUGUUAAUAAGUUCAUAAACAUUUAUGAUUUAUACAUUAUUGAUGAAUGGACUGCUUUAUCAUUAGGAAAUGACCCUCUUUAUCCCUGGUUUUAUUUUUUGCUCUGAAAUCUAGUUUGAUAUUAACGAAACCACUCCAGCUUUAUUUUGAUUAGUAUUGGCACAGUAUAUAGUUCCCCAUGCUUUCACUUUUAGCCUGUAUGCAUUUUUUUAAAAAGACUUAACUUAUUUUAGGGAUGCCUGGGUGGGCCAGUGGGUUAAAUCCUCUGCUUUCGGCUCAGGUUGUGAUUCCCAGUGUCUUGGGAUCGAGCCCCAUGUCGGGCUCUCUGCUUGACGGGAGCCUGCUUCCCCUUCUCUCUCUC
rnacentral:lncRNA from 1 species